rnacentral:lncRNA from 1 species
UAAAUUCAGUUUAAUUAAAUCAUUUGACUAGCAUGUUAUAUGAAUAUAAAUGUUUCAGUAUAGCUAAAGUUAUUUUAAAACCAUCAGAAAGUACCUAGGUGAUUUUAUUCCAGUCUGCACUGAUGUGAAUGUGUUUCCACAGUGUAUGACUAGUUACAGUGAUUUUACCCGCUCUGCACUAUUGUGAAUGUGUUUCCAUAGUGUAUGACCAGAUUAUCAGAGGUCUUUGGGACCCACUCUCGUACACACAUAGGCUUUGGGCCGUGUACUAGGGUGAUUAGCCUUUGGGGCAGCUCUGCGUACGUAUGACCAGAUUAUCAGCUCUUGUACAUCGAGAUUACUCUGUACAUGAGUAAGGCUAUUCAUUGGGUACUCUUUUUGGUGUGAUUUUUCAGUAUUUAUUCUAUUAUUAGAUUUCAGAUUAUGGAAUUCAGUUAAUUCAGUUUUCAGAAUUGAGCUUUCAGCUUAUAGUAUUAAGGCAGCAAUAUUUCAUAAUUUUUCAUGGAUAUCAGAGUAUUUAUAGUCAUUAUGUUAUACAGUUGCCUUUCUAGAAUUAUGUCCAAGAAAUUAUGAUAUGAUCAUGUUUAGUUUUUAAAAGUGUUACUAUUUUUC